AGAGUUUGAUCAUGGCUCAGGACGAACGCUGGCGGCGCGCCUAACACAUGCAAGUCGAGCGAGAACCAGGGCUUGCCCUGGGGACAGCGGCGAACGGGUGCGUAACACGUGAGCAACCUGCCCCAAAGACCGGGACAACCCGAGGAAACUCGGACUAAUACCGGAUGCCCUCACCGGGUCGCAUGGUCUGGUGAGGAAAUGGAUUCCGCUUUGGGAUGGGCUCGCGGUCUAUCAGCUUGUUGGUGGGGUAACGGCCUACCAAGGCGACGACGGAUAGCUGGUCUGAGAGGACGAUCAGCCACACUGGGACUGAGACACGGCCCAGACUCCUACGGGAGGCAGCAGUGGGGAAUCUUGCGCAAUGGGGGAAACCCUGACGCAGCGACGCCGCGUGCGGGAUGAAGGCCUUCGGGUUGUAAACCGCUUUCAGCAGGGACGAAAUUGACGGUACCUGCAGAAGAAGGCCCGGCCAACUACGUGCCAGCAGCCGCGGUAAUACGUAGGGGCCUAGCGUUGUCCGGAAUUAUCGGGCGUAAAGAGCUCGUAGGCGGUUCGGCAAGUCGGAUGUGAAAUCUCCACGCUUAACGUGGAGGGGCCAUUCGAAACUGCUGUGACUCGAGUCCGGUAGGGGAGUGUGGAAUUCCCGGUGUAGCGGUGAAAUGCGCAGAUAUCGGGAGGAACACCAGUAGCGAAGGCGGCACUCUGGGCCGGUACUGACGCUGAGGAGCGAAAGCGUGGGGAGCGAACAGGAUUAGAUACCCUGGUAGUCCACGCCGUAAACGUUGGGCACUAGGUGUGGGACUCUAUCGACGGGUUCCGUGCCGUAGCUAACGCAUUAAGUGCCCCGCCUGGGGAGUACGGCCGCAAGGCUAAAACUCAAAGGAAUUGACGGGGCCCGCACAGCGGCGGAGCGUGUGGCUAUCGAUGCACGCGAGACUUACUGGGCUUGACAUGUACGGUAAGCGGGUGAAGCCCGUG
rnacentral:rRNA from 1 species